rnacentral:rRNA from 1 species
AACGUUGGCGGCGUGGAUUAGGCAUGCAAGUCGAGCGAGAAAUCUGUGAGGGAUCCUUCGGGUGAACGAUCAGAUGGAAAGCGGCAAACGGCGUAGUAAUGCGUAGGUACGUGCCCUCAGAUCGGGAAUAGCCACGGGAAACUGUGGGUAAUGCCCGAUAAUGUCUGUGGACCAAAGGUGUGAUUCCGUCUGAGGAGCGGCUUGCGUGAUAUUAGCUUGCUGGUGGGGUAAUGGCCUACCAGGGCGACGAUGUCUACGGGGGUGUGAGAGCAUGGCCCCACGACCGGAACUGAGACACUGUCCGGACACCUACGGGUGGCUGCAGUCGAGAAUCUUCCGCAAUGGGCGAAAGCCUGACGGAGCGACGCCGCGUGCAGGAUGAAGGCCCUUGGGUUGUAAACUGCUGUCAGAGGGGAUGAAAUCACGGUGGGCUAUCCCUCCGUGUUGACAGAGCCUCAAAGGAAGCACGGGCUAAGUACGUG